GGGACUGCUUAAGUCUACCUGCCCACUGAAUUUUAAAUGGCCGCAGUAUAUUAACUGUGCAAAGGUAGCAUAAUCAUUAGUCUUUUAAUUGAAGGCUGGUAUGAAUGGUUGGACGAAAUAUUAACUGUUUCAAAUGAAUUUUUAAUAGAAUUUUAUUUUUUAGUUAAAAAGCUAAAAUUUGUUUAAAAGACGAGAAGACCCUAUAAAUCUUUAUUUUUAAAUUUAUUUUGAUUAUAAAGAAUUUUUGUAUUUAGAUAGAUUUAAAAAUUUUAUUGGGGUGAUAUUAAAAUUUAAUAAACUUUUAAUUUGUUAAAACAUUGAUUUAUGAAUAGUUGAUCCAAUUUUAUUGAUUAAAAAUUUAAGUUACUUUAGGGAUAACAGCGUAAUUUUUUUGGAGAGUUCAUAUCGAUAAAAAAGAUUGCGACCUCGAUGUUGGAUUAAGAGAUAUAUUUAGGUGUAGCCGCUUAAAUGUUAAGUCUGUUCGACUUUUAAAUUCUUACGUGAUCUGUUUU
rnacentral:rRNA from 1 species